rnacentral:rRNA from 1 species
GGACUAACGCUGGCGGCGUGCUUAACACAUGCAAGUCGAACGAGAAAAUGGUAGCAAUAUCAUGAGUAAAGUGGCGAACGGGUGAGGAACACGUAACCAAUCUGCCCUGAAGAGGGGGACAACUGAGGGAAACCUUAGCUAACCCCCAUAAUAUGGUGCCUAUCGCAUAGAGAACACCAAUUUAAAAAUUUAAUUGCUUCGGGAAGAGGUUGCGUCUGAUUAGCUAGUUGGCGAGGUAANGGCUCACCAAGGCGACGAUCAGUAGCUGGUCUGAGAGGAUGAUCAGCCACACUGGGACUGAGAUACGG